UACGGAGGGUGCAAGCGUUAUCCGGAAUCAUUGGGUUUAAAGGGUCCGCAGGCGGGACUGUAAGUCAGUGGUGAAAUCCUACAGCUCAACUGUAGAACCGCCAUUGAUACUGUAGAUCUUGAAUUAAGUGGGAGUGGGCGGAAUAUGACAUGUAGCGGUGAAAUGCAUAGAUAUGUCAUAGAACACCGAAAGCGAAGGCAGCUCACUAUACUUUAAUUGACGCUCAUGGACGAAAGCGUGGGGAGCAAACAGG
rnacentral:rRNA from 1 species